CGGUAACAGGGGGGAAGCUUGCUUCCCGCUGACGAGCGGCGGACGGGUGAGUAAUGCUUAGGAAUCUGCCCAGUAGUGGGGGAUAGCCCGGGGAAACCCGGAUUAAUACCGCAUACGUCCUACGGGAGAAAGCAGGGGAUCUUCGGACCUUGCGCUAUUGGAUGAGCCUAAGUCGGAUUAGCUAGUUGGUGGGGUAAAGGCCUACCAAGGCGACGAUCCGUAGCUGGUCUGAGAGGAUGAUCAGCCACAUCGGGACUGAGACACGGCCCGAACUCCUACGGGAGGCAGCAGUGGGGAAUAUUGGACAAUGGGGGCAACCCUGAUCCAGCCAUGCCGCGUGUGUGAAGAAGGCUUUCGGGUUGUAAAGCACUUUCAGUAGGGAGGAAAACCUUAUGGUUAAUACCCAUGAGGCUUGACGUUACCUACAGAAGAAGCACCGGCUAACUCCGUGCCAGCAGCCGCGGUAAUACGGAGGGUGCAAGCGUUAAUCGGAAUUACUGGGCGUAAAGCGCGCGUAGGUGGUUUGGUAAGCGAGAUGUGAAAGCCCCGGGCUUAACCUGGGAACGGCAUUUCGAACUGUCAGACUAGAGUGUGGUAGAGGGUAG
rnacentral:rRNA from 2 species